rnacentral:rRNA from 1 species
AUACGUAGGUGGCAAGCGUUGUCCGGAUUUACUGGGUGUAAAGGGCGUGUAGGCGGGAGAUCAAGUCAGAUGUGAAAUACCGGGGCUCAACCCCGGGGCUGCAUUUGAAACUGAUUUUCUUGAGUGCUGGAGAGGAAAGCGGAAUUCCUAGUGUAGCGGUGAAAUGCGUAGAUAUUAGGAGGAACACCAGUGGCGAAGGCGACUUACUGGACUGUAACUGACACUGAGGCACGAAAGCGUGGGUAGC